GAUGAACGCUGGCGGCGUGCCUAAUACAUGCAAGUCGAACGAGGCCCUUUGUAUUCGUACGAAGGUGUCCUAGUGGCGAACGGGUGAGUAACACGUAGGUGACCUGCCCCGAAGCGGGGGACAACUCCGGGAAACUGGAGCUAAUACCCCAUGUUCUCCAUGGUGUUAGAGGACCAUGGAGCAAAGGAGCAAUCCACUUUGGGAGGGGCCUGCGGCCCAUCAGCUAGUUGGUAGGGUAAUGGCCUACCAAGGCUAUGACGGGUUGGGGACCUGAGAGGGUGGUCCCCCACACUGGAACUGAAACACGGACCAGACACCUACGGGUGGCAGCAGUAGGGAAUAUUGCACAAUGGGCGAAAGCCUGAUGCAGCAACGCCGCGUGCGCGAUGAAGGCCUUCGGGUUGUAAAGCGCUUUUCUGGGGGAAGAGGAAGGACGGUACCCCAGG
rnacentral:rRNA from 1 species